GAUGAACGCUGGCGGCGUGCUUAACACAUGCAAGUCGAACGGAAAGGCUCCGGCUUGCAGGGGUACUCGAGUGGCGAACGGGUGAGUAACACGUGGGUGAUCUGCCCUGCACUUCGGGAUAAGCCUGGGAAACUGGGGCUAAUACCGGAUAGGAGCACAUUUUGGAUGGUGGGGGGUAGAGUGUUUCGGUGUGGGGGGAGGUCGCGGCCGAUCAGCAGGUUGGUGGGGGAAUGGCCUACCAAGGCGUCGACGGGUAGCCGGCCGGAGAGGGUGUACGGCCACAUUGGGACUGAGAUACGGCCCAGACUCCUACGGGAGGCAGCAGUGGGGAAUAUUGCACAAUGGGCGCAAGCCUGAUGCAGCGACGCCGCGUGGGGGAUGACGGCCUUCGGGUUGUAAACUCCUUUCGCUAGGGACGAAGCGUUUUUGUGACGGUACCUGGAGAAGAAGCACCGGCUAACUACGUG
rnacentral:rRNA from 1 species